CACCGUAUUUCUGUUGGGAGUUCAGAUGCAAAUAUUUUGGGUACCUGCCUUCUAUGCGACAUGCCCUUUGAUGACUAUUCUUCACGUUGCAGAUGCUCUUAUUGUAGAAUGCUUGUUUUGGUCUGUGAUAGUUGCCAAAUGAGGGAAGCUGUCUAUGUUUGUGAGUUAUGUCAGAAACAUGGCAAGGUUGUUGGCUUAAUUCCGUCAACUGAAAAUAGUAAGCCAGAGGAAACAAUGCCAGAUGGUGAACUUGCAUGCAUUCCCUCGGAU
rnacentral:misc_RNA from 1 species